UAUUAAAUCUAGGGGUGGAACAACUUUGACACAAAGUAGGCGCGGUGAGGAAGUGGGCACGGAAGGCAAAAUUUUGACAGCCUAUUACAUUGUUUACGUUUUGUGUCAAAGAAAAGCAAUGAAAAGUAUGACCGAAACAGUCGUGCUUUGGUGAGUGGCAAACAACAGUGGCUGUUUUUCUGGUUUUUCUACCCCGUAAUGCCAAAACGGAAAAACAAUCUCCUAGCUCCUCGAGCAAAAGCCGUGAAGCCCGAUUUCCGAGCACUGCCUCCAACAGCAGUGGCUACAGCAGCAGUUCCUACUCCUCAACGCCCUCCCUACUGAAGCAGAAAGUUAAACUGGAACCAUUGCCGGACGCUUCGGAGUUGGUAGAAUCGCUACCAACCAUUUCUCCCAAUUAUCGCCCGAUUCCGCUGAACCAGGUCGUGAUGGAUUGUGUAUUUUCCAACAACUGCAAGGCUCAGCGGUCGAUUCUGACCGAAGGAGAAACCCUCGGCCACAGCAUGUAGUCCAAAAAUCUUCGCACCAAAGUUUUUUCCGGCAUCAAAACCUUUACUGGAAUCGUGCCUAGCCUGUACGACCUGUGCAUUCGACUCAUAGAAGCUGAAACAUAGAGCUGCUGGAUUGUACCGGCGGAAUUCCGUUCGAAAUGCUCAAACCGGUCCUGGAACGUGCCUCCGCCAAACAGCUGGAAUAUCUGGAAGAAGUGAACCCGUACCUGUUAGAGGACACUGACAUCCUUUAGGAGCAGCACUGCAAACGACUCUUCCGAAGCCAAACACGAAGGGAAGAAGAGUGCGAAUCAUGGCUGGAGAUGUACGCUCGUUAUUCAAAAGAAAGAGAGGUAAAGCUGCAGCAUGAACCGUCUGACGGCCAACAUCAGAUGGCCCAGGUAGAGCAGACAGCAGCGGUCAGCGUAAGUGUCAACCUGCGACAAAAAUACCUCGUCCAACUGAUCAAACCAGAGUUAUCCGCAUCACUUGGAUCGAACGACAGCCAAAAAUCCGAAGGCGGAGAUGCAUUGCUUCAGAAAAACAUUGCAUUUUUUGCCAGUGAUUUGAUAAGACUAAU